AAAGAAACCAACAGGGAUUGCCCUAGUAACGGCGAGUGAAGCGGCAACAGCUCAAAUUUGAAAUCUGGCUCUCGGGCCCGAGUUGUAAUUUGUAGAGGAUGCUUUUGAUGCGGUGCCUUCCGAGUUCCCUGGAACGGGACGCCAUAGAGGGUGAGAGCCCCGUCUGGUUGGAUGCCAAAUCUCUGUAAAGCUCCUUCGACGAGUCGAGUAGUUUGGGAAUGCUGCUCUAAAUGGGAGGUAUAUGUCUUCUAAAGCUAAAUACCGGCCAGAGACCGAUAGCGCACAAGUAGAGUGAUCGAAAGAUGAAAAGCACUUUGAAAAGAGAGUUAAAAAGUACGUGAAAUUGUUGAAAGGGAAGCGUUUAUGACCAGACUUGGGCUUGGUUAAUCAUCUGGGGUUCUCCCCAGUGCACUUUUCCAGUCCAGGCCAGCAUCAGUUUUCGCCGGGGGAUAAAGGCUUCGGGAAUGUGGCUCUCUCCGGGGAGUGUUAUAGCCCGUUGCGUAAUACCCUGGCGGGGACUGAGGUUCGCGCAUCUGCAAGGAUGCUGGCGUAAUGGUCAUCAACGACCCGUCUUGAAACACGGACCAAGGAGUCGUCUUCGUAUGCGAGUGUUCGGGUGUCAAACCCCUACGCGUAAUGAAAGUGAACGCAGGUGAGAGCUUCGGCGCAUCAUCGACCGAUCCUGAUGUUCUCGGAUGGAUUUGAGUAAGAGCAUACGGGGCCGGACCCGAAAGAAGGUGAACUAUGCCUGUGUAGGGUGAAGCCAGAGGAAACUCUGGUGGAGGCUCGCAGCGGUUCUGACGUGCAAAUCGAUCG
rnacentral:rRNA from 1 species